GAGGGUAUAGCUCAGUGGUAGAGCGCAUGCUUAGCAUGCACAAGGUCCUGGGUUCAAUCCCCAGCACCUCUG
rnacentral:tRNA from 1 species